UACGGGGGGGGGCAAGCGUUGUUCGGAAUUACUGGGCGUAAAGGGCUCGUAGGCGGCCAACUAAGUCGGAUGUGAAAUCCCCAGGCUUAACCUGGGAACUGCAUCCGAUACUGGAUGGCUUGAAUUCGGGAGAGGGAUGCAGAAUUCCAGGUGUAGCGGUGAAAUGCGUAGAUAUCUGGAGGAAUACCGGUGGCGAAGGCGGCAUCCUGGACCGACAUUGACGCUGAGGAGCGAAAGCUAGGGGAGCAA
rnacentral:rRNA from 1 species